rnacentral:lncRNA from 1 species
GACAAAGCUUUGCCUCCUUAACCAAUUGCAAAUCAGAAAAUAUUUGAAUCCAACUGUGGCCCCUGCUUUGAGAUGUUCCACCUUUUUAGGCCAAAGCAACGUACAAUCUUCACGUAUUAGCCUCCAAUUUUGCCUGUGACUUCCGCUUACCUGAAAUUUCCCCCUGCCUAUGAAAACCCUUACUUGCUAGCCAUGGGAGAGUUCAGGUCUUAAGUGUUGCUUGGCACACUGCAAUCAAUGCCUCACUUCAUUUCACCAAGUUCCCAAUGCCACUGCUUGACCUUGCUGGACCAGGUGAGCAGACCCCACUUGGGUCAGUAAAAAUCUCCAAGUCAAGUCACACUUUGAGGAGUCGGGGAGUUAGGACUUCAGCAUAUGAAUUUGGGGGUGGGGGAAGACACAGUUCACCCCAGCAGCACUGCCUAUCUGGAAAAGGCGGGCGUCUGAUAAGCUGAGUUCUCCAUCAAGGAGCGCAGGGAGAGACUUGAGAGCGGUGGCUGCCCCCGCCUCUCCCCGCCCGCCACCCCGUUCCUUUUCACUGCAGUGUGCCAGCAAAGUGACUGAAGCUUUCCAAGGACCCAAUUACCAGCUUCUCCUCAGUGGCCCUGCCCGAGUCCUGAGGUUCAACACAACAUUUUAAUUACUUUUUCAAUGCACCCUAAUCACGAUGACACUUGAGCAGAGAGCCUGAGGAAACUGACUUUUCCUGCAGAGGCUGUUCUCUGUGAAACAGACUGCUCUCAGCGAAGGCGGAGAGGCCAAAGCACAGGCAUUUCACGUGAAAUGAGGGCAGGAAAGCCUCACCUCCCGAGUGGGCAGUAGCACUUUUUGGAUUCCCCCUGGUUUAAAGGGUGGCAGGGCUGUGGGAUGUGGCUCAGUGAUGCUGCAAACAGAUGGGUCCGGUUUGGUGUGUUCUCGGUUGGAGCACAGAGCAGGCCAGGGUGACUGACCCAAGUCCCUGCAGCAUCCUCUAAGGCAGAGUGAUUUGUCAAAAAUUUAGAGCUGAUGGAAAAAUUAACUGUAUCUCAUUUACUGGCCUACGGCCUCACAAAUGGGAAAGAAAGGAGAUCAUUCCCCUCCUUCAAUUCUGGAGUAUCCCUAGGAAGAGUUAUAGGACAUUAUCAUCAUCAUCAUCAUCAUCAUCAUCAUCACACUGGCUUAAAACAACAGACAUGUCUCAUAGAUGUGCAGUCUAGAAGUCUGGAUUCAAGGUGCUGGCGGGCCCUGCUUCCUCUGAAAUCUGAAGGGGAAUCUGUCCUUGUGUCUUCCCGGCCCCCGUGGCUUGCUGGCCACCUUUGACGCUCCUUAGCUUGCCGGUGUACCUCUCCAUCCUCCAUCUUCACAUGGUGCUCUUCUGUGUCUCUGUCCUCACCUGGCUGCCUUUUUAUAAGAAUGACCCAGAACAUGAUUUUAAAAUGUCUGGGUUGGGCAUGGCAUAAUCCCAGUGCUUUGAGGGCCAAGAUGCGAGGAUUGCUUGAGACCAGGAGUUCGAGACCAGCCUGGGCAACAUAGUGAGACCCUGUCUCUACAAAAAAAAAAAAAAAA